CUUGUGGGAUCGAGACUGGACUUCCUUGACGAGCGACGGUGGCGCAUUGGAAGAAGCGUGGUUUACUGCACCAAAGCUCGUAAAGGCGACAUUUUCAGGGACCUCCGAGAGCAAUGUGACUCCAUUAAUGGGGAAGCAGUUGCAGAGCUAAAAAUUAGAAGUUUGAAUUCACUAAACAAGGAUCAAUCCAACAACUUCGUAGAAAAGCUGAGAACUGAAUGAAACCUCGGAAGCAGUUCCAAUUCGGACCUCAACCAAGAAAAAGAUCGAGAACACUCGCAGAAAUUAACAAG